GACGAACGCUGGCGGCGUGCCUAAUACAUGCAAGUCGAACGAACCGCGACUAGGUGCUUGCACUUGGUCAAGGUGAGUGGCGAACGGGUGAGUAACACGUGGGUAACCUACCUCAUAGUGGGGGAUAACAGUCGGAAACGACUGCUAAUACCGCAUAGGACAUAGGAUCACAUGAUUCUGUGAGGAAAGGUGGCGCAAGCUAUCGCUAAGAGAUGGACCCGCGGUGCAUUAGCUAGUUGGUAGGGUAAAGGCCUACCAAGGCGAUGAUGCAUAGCCGACCUGAGAGGGUGAUCGGCCACAUUGGGACUGAGACACGGCCCAAACUCCUACGGGAGGCAGCAGUAGGGAAUCUUCCGCAAAGGACGCAAGUCUGACGGAGCAACGCCGCGUGAGUGAAGAAGGUCUUCGGAUCGUAAAGCUCUGUUGUUAGAGAAGAACAGCGCAUAGAGUAACUGCUAUGCGUGUGACGGUAUCUAACCAGAAAGCCACGGCUAACUACGUG
rnacentral:rRNA from 1 species